rnacentral:rRNA from 2 species
CUUGAUAACAUAAGAGGUCCAGCCUGCCCAGUGACUCAAUUCAACGGCCGCGGUAUCCUAACCGUGCAAAGGUAGCGUAAUCACUUGUCUUCUAAAUAAAGACUAGUAUGAAAGGCACCACGAGAACUAAACUGUCUCCUUUUUCUAAUCAGUGAACCUAAUCUCCCUGUGAAAAAGCAGGGAUUUAAUAAUAAGACGAGAAGACCCUAUGGAGCUUUAAACACAUAACACUGCCCUUUCACACCACAAUGUUCCAUGCACAAUGAUUAAGAGUUUUUAGUUGGGGUGACUACGGAGUAAACCCACCCUCCGCGAUGAAUCUUAAACAAGCGACAGCUUUAUACAUCAGCAAACUGACACCAUUGACCCAAUUUAUUGAUCAACGAAC